rnacentral:rRNA from 1 species
AUUGAACGCUGGCGGCAUGCUUUACACAUGCAAGUCGAACGGCAGCGCGGGCUUCGGCCUGGCGGCGAGUGGCGAACGGGUGAGUAAUGCAUCGGAACGUGCCCAGUAGUGGGGGAUAGCCCGGCGAAAGCCGGAUUAAUACCGCAUACGACCUGAGGGUGAAAGCGGGGGACCGAAAGGCCUCGCGCUAUUGGAGCGGCCGAUGUCGGAUUAGCUAGUUGGUGGGGUAAAGGCUUACCAAGGCGACGAUCCGUAGCUGGUCUGAGAGGACGACCAGCCACACUGUGACUGAGACACGGCCCAGACUCCUACGGGAGGCAGCAGUGGGGAAUUUUGGACAAUGGGGGCAACCCUGAUCCAGCCAUGCCGCGUGCGGGAAGAAGGCCUUCGGGUUGUAAACCGCUUUUGUUCGGGAAGAAAUCCUCUGGGCUAAUACCCCGGGGGGAUGACGGUACCGGAAGAAUAAGCACCGGCUAACUACGUG